ensembl:snRNA U6 U6 spliceosomal RNA
GUGCUCACUUUGGCAGCAUAUAUAACAAAAACUGGAAGGAUACAGAGAUUAGAGUGGCCCCUUGCAAGGAUGACAUACAAAUUCAUGAAGCAUUUCAUAGUUAU